rnacentral:rRNA from 1 species
AUACGGAGGAUGCGAGCGUUAUCCGGAUUUAUUGGGUUUAAAGGGUGCGUAGGCGGGCUGUUAAGCGUGAGGUGAAAGCUCGGGGCUCAACCCCGGAACUGCCUCGCGAACUGGCGGUCUUGAAUGUCCGUGCCGUGGGAGGAAUGUGUGGUGUAGCGGUGAAAUGCAUAGAGAUCACACAGAACACCGAUUGCGAAGGCAUCUCACGAACGGAUGAUUGACGCUGAGGCACGAAAGCGUGGGGAUCAAACAGGAGUAGAUACCCUGGUAGUCCACGCAGUAAACGAUGAUGACUAACCGUCGGCGAUACACAGUCGGUGGCCAAGCGAAAGCGAUAAGUCAUCCACCUGGGGAGUACGUUCGCAAGAAUGAAACUCAAAGGAAUUGACGGGG